UAGGGAAUAUUGGACAAUGGUGGCAACACUGAUCCAGCCAUGCCGCGUGCAGGAUGACGGCCCUAUGGGUUGUAAACUGCUUUUGUACGGGAAAAAACCCUUGUUCGUGAACAAGGCUGAUGGUACCGUAAGAAUAAGGAUCGGCUAACUCCGUGCCAGCAGCCGCGGUAAUACGGAGGAUCCAAGCGUUAUCCGGAUUUAUUGGGUUUAAAGGGUGCGUAGGCGGAUUGAUAAGUCAGUGGUGAAAGCCUACAGCUUAACUGUAGAAUUGCCGUUGAUACUGUUAGUCUUGAGUAUAUUUGAAGUGGGCGGAAUGUGCAGUGUAGCGGUGAAAUGCUUAGAUAUUGCACAGAACACCAAUUGCGAAGGCAGCUCACUAAACUAUAACUGACGCUGAGGCAC
rnacentral:rRNA from 1 species